rnacentral:rRNA from 1 species
GUGGCAAGCGUUGUCCGGAAUUAUUGGGCGUAAAGCGCGCGCAGGCGGUCCUUUAAGUCUGAUGUGAAAGCCCACGGCUCAACCGUGGAGGGUCAUUGGAAACUGGGGGACUUGAGUACAGGAGAGGAAAGUGGAAUUCCAUGUGUAGCGGUGAAAUGCGUAGAGAUGUGGAGGAACACCAGUGGCGAAGGCGACUUUCUGGUCUGUAACUGACGCUGAGGCGCGAAAGCGUGGGGAGCAAACAGGAUUAGAUACCCUGGUAGUCCACGCCGUAAACGAUGAGUGCUAAGUGUCAGGGGGUUUCCGCCCCUUAGUGCUGCASUAACGCAUUAAGCACUCCGCCUGGGGAGUACGGCCGCAAGGCUG